rnacentral:rRNA from 1 species
CAGGUAGUUGGCGGGGUAACGGCCCACCAAGCCUUCGAUCAGUAACUGGUGUGAGAGCACGACCAGUCACACGGGCACUGAGACACGGGCCCGACUCCUACGGGAGGCAGCAGUAAGGAAUAUUGGUCAAUGGACGCAAGUCUGAACCAGCCAUGCCGCGUGAAGGAUGAAGGCCCUCUGGGUUGUAAACCUCUUUUAUCUGGGACGAAAAAAGGGGAUUCUUCCUCACUUGACGGUACCAGAGGAAUAAGCACCGGCUAACUCCGUGCCAGCAGCCGCGGUAAUACGGAGGGUGCAAGCGUUAUCCGGAUUUACUGGGUUUAAAGGGUGCGUAGGUGGGUAGGUAAGUCAGUGGUGAAAUCUUCGAGCUUAACUCGGAAACUGCCAUUGAUACUAUUUAUCUUGAAUACUUUGGAGGUAAGCGGAAUAUGUCAUGUAGCGGUGAAAUGCUUAGAUAUGACAUAGAACACCAAUUGCGAAGGCAGCUUACUACACAGUCAUUGACACUGAGGCACGAAAGCGUGGGGAUCAAACAGGAUUAGAUACCCUGGUAGUCCA